AAGGAAUGUUUUAAGGUGCCCCAAACGUCUUUAGGACGGGUGGUUGGAUCAGUUUGUGCUCUGAUGGGAGUGCUCACUAUUGCUCUUCCGGUUCCAGUUAUAGUUUCCAAU
rnacentral:sRNA from 14 species